rnacentral:rRNA from 1 species
UGAAGCUGGAUUCGCUAGUAAUCGCGCAUCAGCCAUGGCGCGGUGAAUACGUUCCCGGGCCUUGUACACACCGCCCGUCAAGCCAUGGGAGCCGGGAGUGCCUGAAGUCCGUGACCGCGAGGAGCGGCCUAGGGUAAGACCGGUGACUGGGGCUAAGUCGUAACAAGGUAUC